GAUGAAGAACGUAGCGAAAUGCGAUAAGUAAUGUGAAUUGCAGAAUUCAGUGAAUCAUCGAAUCUUUGAACGCACAUUGCGCCCGCCAGUAUUCUGGCGGGCAUGCCUGUUCGAGCGUCAUUUCAACCAUCAAGCCCCCGGCUUGUGUUGGGGACCUGCGGCUGCCGCAGGCCCUGAAAUGCAGUGGCGGGCUCGCUGUCACUCCGAGCGUAGUAGUUACAUCUCGCUCUGGGCGUGCUGCGGGUUCCGGCCGUUAAAAGCCUUAUUUACCCAAGGUUGACCUCGGAUCAGGUAGGAAGACCCGCUGAACUUAAGAAUAUCAAUAAGCGGAGGA
rnacentral:misc_RNA from 1 species